rnacentral:rRNA from 1 species
AGAGUUUGAUCCUGGCUCAGGACGAACGCUGGCGGCGUGCUUAACACAUGCAAGUCGAACGGAAAGGCCCUGCUUGCAGGGUACUCGAGUGGCGAACGGGUGAGUAACACGUGGGUGAUCUGCCCUGCACUUCGGGAUAAGCCUGGGAAACUGGGUCUAAUACCGGAUAGGAGCCAUUUUUAGUGUGAUGGUUGGAAAGUUUUUUCGGUGUAGGAUGAGCUCGCGGCCUAUCAGCUUGUUGGUGGGGUAAUGGCCUACCAAGGCGGCGACGGGUAGCCGGCCUGAGAGGGUGGACGGCCACAUUGGGACUGAGAUACGGCCCAGACUCCUACGGGAGGCAGCAGUGGGGAAUAUUGCACAAUGGGCGCAAGCCUGAUGCAGCGACGCCGCGUGGGGGAUGACGGCCUUCGGGUUGUAAACUCCUUUCGCUAGGGACGAAGCUUUUUGUGACGGUACCUAGAUAAGAAGCACCGGCUAACUACGUGCCAGCAGCCGCGGUAAUACGUAGGGUGCGAGCGUUGUCCGGAAUUACUGGGCGUAAAGAGCUCGUAGGUGGUUUGUCGCGUCGUCUGUGAAAUUCCGGGGCUUAACUCCGGGCGUGCAGGCGAUACGGGCAUAACUUGAGUGCUGUAGGGGAGACUGGAAUUCCUGGUGUAGCGGUGAAAUGCGCAGAUAUCAGGAGGAACACCGAUGGCGAAGGCAGGUCUCUGGGCAGUAACUGACGCUGAGGAGCGAAAGCAUGGGUAGCGAACAGGAUUAGAUACCCUGGUAGUCCAUGCCGUAAACGGUGGGCGCUAGGUGUGAGGGUCUUUUCACGACUUUCGUGCCGUAGCUAACGCAUUAAGCGCCCCGCCUGGGGAGUACGGCCGCAAGGCUAAAACUCAAAGGAAUUGACGGGGGCCCGCACAAGCGGCGGAGCAUGUGGAUUAAUUCGAUGCAACGCGAAGAACCUUACCUGGGCUUGACAUACACCGGAUCGGGCUAGAGAUAGUCUUUCCCUUUGUGGCUGGUGUACAGGUGGUGCAUGGUUGUCGUCAGCUCGUGUCGUGAGAUGUUGGGUUAA